CUGAGACUGUAAAUAUUAACAUCUUAGAAUUUGUAAUUAGGCACAAACAAAAGAACUUCUGGUAGAUGGCACAUGCCUCUUUCCCGGUUUCUGGCUUCAAGGAAGGAUGCCAUCACUCCUGUCUGCUGUCUUUGAAAUUCCCAGGUAAUGACCAAAUAGUUGUAUGUAUGUAUAUCUGUGUAUGUCUAUGUAUAUCUUUUCAUAUAUAUGUAAAAUUACAAUCAUCUUACUUUAGCCCCUCCGGUAAUAAUUUUGCGUGUUUCUUGGAUGCAUAGCAGGUAUUCUAUUUACAUUUACUGCAAACAAAUAUUUUUUUUAAAAAGCAAUGGAAUUAUAGUAGAACCAGGCAGAUUUAACAAUUGUGACAGAGGAAUAGCAAUAUAACAGAUCUGCUAAGUAGAGCAAAAUAAAUUGCAAAAUGAUGCAGUAGGGGCAUACUGAAAUUUAACAUGGCAGCGGGGAUAUGGGUAUAUACCUCAUUCCAACUGCAACUGAGUCUCCAUAUAAGUAGCUUCUUUAGCUUACCUGGUGUGUGGAUGAAAAUUCUGUUAAUGCUGAAUGGCCCCCUCCCCUGUCCCACUCCAAUGAACAUUUUAUAGAGAAACCAAUGUUAAUGUAGGUCGUUGAAAACAAAAUUUACAUGCUUCUGUGCAAGUUGAUCAAUACGAUUAGGCAUGUCCCUUCUGCAAUUACUUUAAAAUUUAUUCUUCCUUGUCAUAAUCCUACAGAAUGGAUUGAAACAGAGAAAAUGGAAAGAGAAAGACACCAUUAACUGAAAAUCCAGCCAUGAUAUCUGAUAAGUGAAACAAUUAUUUUUGUGCUAUUUUUAGAAUUCAACAAAAUUUCUUUCAUAAGACUAUACCAUGCCCUCAAGUUUGUUUCUAUUUAUAAAUGCCUCUGCCAAGAGUCAUUCAGAAGCAAGUGAAAAAGCGGUGCAGAUAUUUGCAGGGAGAACAUUGCAGGAAGAGAAAUAUGCACGUGCAAAGACAGAGAUGGGAACAUGCUUGGCAUACCUGAGGAAUAGUGAGGAGGAAUUGGAACUUUGGGCCUCUGUAUUUCUCUCUUCCAAGUCUGGGAACUCCUGAAAAGUAAGAACCACUUUUUAGACUCAUCUGGGUAUCUCCUUGACCCCACAUAGAAUCAGGCCACUGGACUCCUUUUCAACCAUUGUUUUCCCAUCUCCACUGAGCUAUAGC